GGGGGGGGGGGGGGGGGGGGGGGGGGGGGGGGGGGGGGGGGGGGGGGGGGGGGGGGGGGGGGGGGGGGGGGGGGGGGGGGGGGGGGGGGGGGGGGGGGGGGGGGGGGGGGGGGGGGGGGCCGCACGGCUCCCCCGACGGUGCCGCCGCCCCCGGGGCCGCCGGCCCGCGGCUCCCUCAGCCUCCAUCGCGCCUACCUGCGGAGCCCGCUGGGCCUGCUACGCCUGGGGCAGCUGGCUCUGGGCGCUGCCUUCUGGGUGACGGUAGCGGCUCAUAAGUACGAGGGGGCGGCCCACUUCGCUCUGUUUGCCGCCGUCCUGGUCUGGCUCCUCACCCUGGCCCUCUUCGGGCUGAGCCUGCUGGGGCGCUGGGAGCUGGUGCCCUGGUUGGGCUCCCGCUGGCUCCUCACCAACCUGGUGCACGACCUGGCACUGGGUGUGGGGCUCUACGCAGCUGCCACUGGCAUCAUGGGUCACAAGGCCAAGCAGAGGAGCUUUUGCAACCUGCCGGGCUACAGCCAGCACUGCCUGUACAGUGCCUACCUGAGUGCCUCCAUCUGCGGGGGCAUCACUGCCUGCCUGUACCUCUUCUCCGGCCUCUAUUGUCUGUCACGGCGUUGCCAGGACCAGCGAGACAUCAUCUGAGACCCCACGCCACUUGGCUCCCCUGCUCAGCAGCAGACAGAAAACAACCUGUCUUUGGGAUGAAAUGACCCUGCCACCCCAUCCUCUCCUGGCUGACGGCACUGCAAUUCCUCCAGAGACUCCUGGACAGACAGAGGCCUUGGCUGAGCACGGCUUCCCCUGCAGCACACCGAGACAGCAUGGACACCCAGCCACUUAACAGCCCUUCUCCCACUGCUGGACACACGUAGGCUACUGCAAGUGGAAGGACCCAAAUGGAGAGCCCCUACGAGGGAUACCAAUCUUUGGGAGCCCCCCUAGGACUCAAGCCAAAAUCUGCUGCCCCUGGUCUUGCAGAUGCUGCCUGCUCAGGUACUGCACAGCCAGAUCCAGCACCCGGUCCACUCUGGAGAUUGAGAGGGCAGCAAGACCUGCAUUGCUGCGGAGGGAGGGGAAGGACAAGUGGAGUCACAACCUGUCCUGUGACCCUGGGCCUCCAGCCCAGGAGUUUGUACAGUCCUGGGAUGGGGCAAGGUGCCCCAGGGGUUGAGGGGCCUGUCAUGGGGUUCUCUCCUCCUGCUGUCCCUGCAGAGAGGUUUGUGGCUCCAAGCCACCCAGAGCCACUGAACCAGCCCUGGGGCCAGGCUACUACAAAAGGGACAGAAACAGCCUCGCUGAUGGUUCUGGAGACCAGCCUGCAGCCCUGCCUGUCUCUGCCACACUUGUUUAUCAUCCUGGAAAAUUUUCAUCUCUGGACUCUCUGUGACUGGGCAAUGCCUGGAGACUGUGGUGAGGUGGAAGGGAAGGAUGAGCACUGCAGCAUGGCAGUGCUAGGCUGUGCUGGCACUCUGGCCAUGGGGGAGCUGGGGCCAGGCAUUGUGGGAGCACAACCUGUCUUGGAGAACAGAAAAAGACACUGGCACUGGAGCCAGCCCAGCUCUGGAUCAGCCUCCACAAGCCACCAGGUGCCAAGCCAUGACGAGGCCAUGUAGGGCUGACUAGAGAAAUGGGCAGCCAGAGACAGAAUUUUUGGAGCAGCAGCACACUAGGGCUGCCCUGCCACAGGCCCUCCUCACCCUGCCUGGAGGCAGGUCCUCUCUAUUGCUCCUGGUGCAAGGGAGGGUCUGCUCCAGUCUCUGUGCGGACUCAGAUCAGUGAGAUGGGUGUCCCCAGCAGCUGACCACAGCUACCUGUUGCCUGGGGUUUCCUGGAGGCUUUUUGAGGUGAAGAGCAGCAGCCAUGAUUCCCCUGGGGGCAUGAAGGGGUCUGGGAUUGGUACUGGGCCAUGACUUCCAUUGGGAUGUGCUGUCCCAGUGGAUCAUGCUCAGGGGCCCUGCCAAACCCCAGGCCUUUCCUGGGUAGGACGUGCUCUCUGUGCCCUGUGUCAAGGCUGGUCCCUGACACCGCCUGCCUCUGCCUUACUCUGGUGCAGCCCUUGGCCCAGGCUGUCCAAAAUACCCUCGGUGCUUCUGCCACCACAAGUGCCUUCCCCUGGCUUUCUGCAGCCCUGUCUGUCACCCUAGCUCUUCCCCCUACAGCCUCCUUUCAGGUGCCAAUGGAUUCACCUUCCAAAUAAAGCAAUGUUGGCGCUCACUGAGUGUCUGGGGCUUUGUGCUGGGGACCUGCUGGGUAUGAGGUCUGAGCUGAGAUCACACAGCUCUGUAGCCCUGCACCCUAGGGCCUCUCUGCUUAGAACCUCUGGCAAUGGUCACAAAGUCUUGGGGUGCUCUGGAGUCACAGGCAGGCUUCCUGAUGAUGAGCCACUGCUCCUAACAGAGAGGCUUAAGCCUCUGCCCUUGGGGACAGGGGUUAUCCCUGGCCCUGUUGCCUUUCCAGAGACAGGGCAUAGCCUGAUGCUAACAUGGGGCUCCAGACAGACCAGACGGAGGCCAAGUCCCUAGGGCUCUGUGGCUAUGGGAUGUUACUGAGGACAGGAUGUAGUUGCAUUCCUAAGGGCCUCGUCACUCUGUGCUGAAAGGGCCCUCUGUCCCAGGGCCAGGGCACGACUGGGCAGUCACCACACUGACUGGCCCUUGGUGGGUCAGGGGCCAAUGGAGGGCUGCCAGCAUCUCCCAGGACUGGCUGCAGUUCUGGGACACACUCUUGUGACAGUCUUGGACCUGGACCCGCAGCUGGGGUGGCACUGGGUCCCCACCGUUCUGCCCAUGGGACACAUGCCCUGUUCAUCAGAGGCUGCAGGCAGCUGGCAGCAGCAUUGCACCCUCAUACACCAGCAUAAAGUUAUAACAAGGUUACAGCUUUUGGCGUCAGAUGAAGCCCAGGAUCCCCAGAGCACCCUGGGAGCCAGCCCCCCUGCUCUACUGCAAGCACCUUCUAGGACAGCCCAUGGUGCCUGGAGCAGUGCGAGCAGGGCUGCUGGGCAGGACAGUGCCAGUGCACGCAGGGCUGGGCUGCUUUGGGGACAUGAAGGGGCAGCAAAUGGGCUGCCAGCCAUGCUCAGGGGCCUGUGGGGAACCCCUGCUCCCUUCCAGGGACUCCGGGUGUGAGGCUGCUCCCUGGUCUCUGCUCGGGGAGAGGUGGCCCAGCACCUCAUGGGGACAAACCCACCGCGCCCAACACAGCUGGAUGCAGGCCAUGCCAAGACCCAGACUGGAACUGAGCCCUAAACCAGGAUUAGACCCGGAUCAGUGCCCAGCCCUGGACUGGGACCGGAUCCAGGCUCUGUGACCACACCAGAGCAGACCCAAAUCGGGACCGGGCCGGGACGCUGAGCAGCCCCGGACCAGGGCCGACCCCCGUGGGGGGGGGGGGGGGGG
rnacentral:lncRNA from 1 species